rnacentral:rRNA from 1 species
AGCAGCCGCGGUAAUUCCAGCUCCAAUAGCGUAUAUUAAAGUUGUUGCAGUUAAAAAGCUCGUAGUUGAAUUUCGGAAUCAGUACGCUGGUCGUGCCUUCGGUAUGUACUGGUGUCACUGGUUUCUCCCUUCUGAAGAACCAUCAUGCCAUUUCACUUGGUGUGGUGGGAAAUCAGGACUGUUACUUUGAAAAAAUUAGAGUGUUUAAAGCAGGCUCGCGCUUGAAUACAUUAGCAUGGAAUAAUGAAAUAGGACGUUAAUCCUAUUUUGUUGGUUUCUAGGAUCGACGUAAUGAUUAAUAGGGAUAGUUGGGGGCAUUAGUAUUCAAUUGUCAGAGGUGAAAUUCUUGGAUUUAUUAAAGACUAACUACUGCGAAAGCAUUUGCCAAGGAUGUUUUCUAUUAAUCAAGAACGAAAGUUAGGGGAUCGAAGACGAUCAGAUACCGUCGUAGUCUUAACCAUAAACUAUGCCGACUAGGGAUCGGAUGAUGUUAAUUUUUAAUGACUCAUUCGGCGCCUUA